rnacentral:rRNA from 1 species
GACGAACGCUGGCGGCGUGCUUAACACAUGCAAGUCGAACGGUGAAGCCCUUCGGGGUGGAUCAGUGGCGAACGGGUGAGUAACACGUGGGCAAUCUGCCCUGCACUCUGGGACAAGCCCUGGAAACGGGGUCUAAUACCGGAUACGACUCGGGAGCGCAUGUCCCCGGGUGGAAAGCUCCGGCGGUGCAGGAUGAGCCCGCGGCCUAUCAGCUUGUUGGUGGGGUGAUGGCCUACCAAGGCGACGACGGGUAGCCGGCCUGAGAGGGCGACCGGCCACACUGGGACUGAGACACGGCCCAGACUCCUACGGGAGGCAGCAGUGGGGAAUAUUGCACAAUGGGCGCAAGCCUGAUGCAGCGACGCCGCGUGAGGGAUGACGGCCUUCGGGUUGUAAACCUCUUUCAGCAGGGAAGAAGCGUGAGUGACGGUACCUGCAGAAGAAGCACCGGCUAACUACGUGC